rnacentral:misc_RNA from 1 species
UCCGGCUUGCCACCGGCAGUUCCACUAGAGUGCCCAGCCUAACCUGAUGGCAACUAGUAGCGAGGGUUGCGCUCGUUGCGGGACUUAACCCAACAUCUCACGACACGAGCUGACGACAGCCAUGCAGCACCUGUGUUCUAGCCAGCCGAACUGAAGGAAGUCAUCUCUGACGACCAAACUAGACAAGUCAAGGGUAGGUAAGGUUUUUCGCGUUGCAUCGAAUUAAUCCACAUGCUCCACCGCUUGUGCGGGCCCCCGUCAAUUCCUUUGAGUUUCAGCCUUGCGACUGUACUCCCCAGGCGGCAUAUUUAACGCGUUAGCUCCGGCACAGAUCAACUGAAUGACCUACACCAAAUAUGCAUCGUUUAGGGCGUGGACUAC